rnacentral:rRNA from 1 species
UGCCAGCAGCCGCGGUAAUACGGAGGGGGCGAGCGUUGUCCGGAAUCACUGGGUUUAAAGGGUGCGUAGGCGGCGCUAUAAGUCAGUGGUGAAAGCCUGCAGCUUAACUGUAGAACUGCCAUUGAUACUGGAGAUCUUGAGUACACUAGAAGUAGGCGGAAUUUAUGGUGUAGCGGUGAAAUGCAUAGAUACCAUAAAGAACACCGAUAGCGUAGGCAGCUUACUGGAGUGUAACUGACGCUGAGGCACGAAAGCAUGGGUAGCGAACAGGAUUAGAUA